ensembl:lncRNA
AUGACAAGGAAUGUUUAUGAGCAAAAAAAGAGAGCAGUGUGCAAGCAUGCCUGCGUGCUCAGCCGCUCAGCCGUGCCCAACUCUGUGCAGCCCCGUGGGCUGUGGCCCGCCAGGCUCCUCUGUCCAUGGGAUUCUCUAGACAAGAACACCGGAGUGGGCUGCCAUGCCCUCCUCCAGUGCACAUGCAUGCAAAUAAAUAUUUUAAAAAUAUUUCUGAAUAGCUUUAACAAUGAUUUUUCCAAACCUUAGGUCAAGAAAUUGCUUUUAAGUUGUUCUUUAUGCUUUUCUGCAUUUCCAACUUUCUGUAUGACAUAGUGUUGCUCUUUAAACGGGAAAAUGUUCUGAAAUUUUACAAAAUUCAAAUAUUAAGCGUGGAUCUAAAUAGUAAAGAAGGACAUGCAAUAAAAAAUUAUUUCCUCCCACUUCCUAUCUUAGUUCAGCACCCACCCAGGGGUGCUAACUGGUAACAAUUUCUUGGUAGUCUGUCAUAAAAUUCAAGCACACAUAAAUAUGUAUAUGUGUACAUAUGAGUAUGCAUGUGUUCUUUUGUAUUAAAGUAGAAUAUAAUACACAAUAUUGAUACUUUGAUUUUUUUUCCUACUUAGCAAUAUAUAUUGGACAAGUUACAAUAUUGGCCCAUCUGGGUUGACCUAAUGCUUAUUAGGGACAGCAUAGUAUCCUCAUUUACUUAUCUGGCUAGACUGACAGCUUUUACUUUUUUCUCUAGAUUUUUGUUAUUACAAACAAACUACAAUAACCUUUAUAAAUAUAUUUCUGUGCAUCUGUGCACAACAUUUUCUAGAGACAGAGAAUGAUCAUUGCCAGAUCAAUGAUCAAAGACAGAUAUGCCUUUAAAAGUUUUACAAAUUGGUACUGUCUGGCACUCACCAAUCUCUUAUCAACUUUGCAUGAGAGAGUCUUCCUUCAUACUUUCCCAACGCUUUUUUUACCUUUUAAGUAAAAAUGGGGUUUCACCGUUGUGUUCAUUUUCAGUUCAUUACUACUUAGCAAACUGAAAGCUUGAAAAAAAAAGUUAGUCACGCAGUCAUGUCCGACUCUUUGCGAUUACAUAGACUGUAGCCUGUCCUGCUCCUCUGUCCAUGGAAUUCUCCAGGCAAGAGUACUGGCGUGGGUUGCCAUGUCCUUCUCCUUAUUUAUAAAUCAUUGGAAAUUUCUUGCUUCUGAACUGCGUGUCCAUAUCCUUCAACUAUUUUUUGUUGUUUGUCCUUUUCUUUACUGCUUGAUAAAUACUCUCUCUUUUACAAAAUUUAGUCCUUUAUAGGGUAUGUUUAACAAACAUACUAUUUUUAAUUUGUCUCCUGACUUUACAUUUUUAUAGUGUUUUGCCUCACAUAAUUAAUUGUUUUGCAUUGUAAUUAGAGAAACUUUUAUUUUAUAGGUUCUGGGAAUUAAUUAUUGUAAAGAACCCAUCCAAUAUGAAAUUUAAACAAAAGGUCACAAAGUGUUUUCAAGGAACAUUUUCAUUAGGUGGGUGACAUUAUAGGUUCUGGAAAUGACCAAAAAUGCACAUAACUUAGGUAGACUCUACGUUGGAGUUCUGUCUCAAGAAAAUAGCACAAAAUGUCAAAAUUUACAAUAAAAAAACUAAUAAUAAAAAUGUUUAACAAUCACAGUUGCCUUACCCUCAAUUUUAACAUUACUUCUGUACAACAAAAGAACUAUAUUAUAAAUCU